rnacentral:rRNA from 1 species
UUUUGGACAAUGGGCGCAAGCCUGAUCCAGCCAUGCCGCGUGAGUGAAGAAGGCCUUCGGGUUGUGAAGCUCUUUCGGCGGGGACGAAACGGUUCGUGCUAAUACCACGGACUACUGACGGUACCCGCAGAAGAAGCACCGGCUAACUACGUGCCAGCAGCCGCGGUAAUACGUAGGGUGCAGGCGUUAAUCGGAAUUACUGGGCGUAAAGCGUGCGCAGGCGGUUUGUUAAGACAGGUGUGAAAUCCCCGGGCUUAACCUGGGAAUUGCGCUUGUAACUGGCAGACUGGAGUGUGGCAGAGGGGGGUGGAAUUCCAAGUGUAGCAGUGAAAUGCGUAGAUAUUUGGAGGAACACCAGUGGCGAAGGCGGCUCACUGGCCCGAUACUGACGCUGAGCACGAAU